GUGAGCCGCAUGCGGGGAGACCCGCACGUACGGUUUUCAGGGGGAUCCGGCCAGCCGGCGCCCACCCGAC
rfam:Triticum aestivum genome assembly, contig: Triticum_aestivum_CS42_TGACv1_scaffold_249409_3DL